GGUUAAGCGACUAAGCGUACACGGUGGAUGCCCUGGCAGUCAGAGGCGAUGAAGGACGUGCUAAUCUGCGAUAAGCGCCGGUAAGGUGAUAUGAACCGUUAUAACCGGCGAUUUCCGAAUGGGGAAACCCAGUGUGACUCGUCACACUAUCAUUAACUGAAUCCAUAGGUUAAUGAGGCGAACCGGGGGAACUGAAACAUCUAAGUACCCCGAGGAAAAGAAAUCAACCGAGAUUCCCCCAGUAGCGGCGAGCGAACGGGGAGGAGCCCAGAGCCUGAAUCAGCAUGUGUGUUAGUGGAAGCGUCUGGAAAGGCGCGCGAUACAGGGUGACAGCCCCGUACACAAAAGCGCAUGUGCUGUGAGCUCGAUGAGUAGGGCGGGACACGUGGUAUCCUGUCUGAAUAUGGGGGGACCAUCCUCCAAGGCUAAAUACUCCUGACUGACCGAUAGUGAACCAGUACCGUGAGGGAAAGGCGAAAAGAACCCCGGCGAGGGGAGUGAAAAAGAACCUGAAACCGUGUACGUACAAGCAGUGGGAGCACAGGUUUACCUGUGUGACUGCGUACCUUUUGUAUAAUGGGUCAGCGACUUAU
rnacentral:rRNA from 1 species